GCGCACCUCCCCUGUAACGUGUACCCCCCCCCCCCCAAAUUCUCUACGGAUUUAGCCUUUUUCGGAGAUUUUGUUUUUCUCCGAAAAAGGCUAACUCCAUAGAGAAUUUGGGGGGUGGGGGGGGGGGGGUACACGUUACAUCCUCGAAGCUG